rnacentral:rRNA from 1 species
CAAGUCGAGCGCGAAAACACUUCGGUGUGAGUAGAGCGGCGGACGGGUGAGUAAUGCUUGGGAAUCUGCCCAGUAGUGGGGGAUAACGUGUGGAAACGCACGCUAAUACCGCAUACGUCCUACGGGAGAAAGCAGGGGAUCUUCGGACCUUGCGCUAUUGGAUGAGCCCAAGUCGGAUUAGCUAGUUGGUGGGGUAAUGGCCUACCAAGGCGACGAUCCGUAGCUGGUCUGAGAGGAUGAUCAGCCACACUGGGACUGAGACACGGCCCAGACUCCUACGGGAGGCAGCAGUGGGGAAUAUUGCACAAUGGGCGAAAGCCUGAUGCAGCCAUGCCGCGUGUGUGAAGAAGGCUCUAGGGUUGUAAAGCACUUUCAGUAGGGAGGAAAAGCUUAAGGUUAAUAACCUUGAGCCCUGACGUUACCUACAGAAGAAGCACCGGCAAACUCCGUGCCAGCAGCCGCGGUAAUACGGAGGGUGCGAGCGUUAAUCGGAAUUACUGGGCGUAAAGCGCGCGUAGGUGGUUUGAUAAGCUAGCUGUGAAAGCCCCGGGCUCAACCUGGGAACUGCAGUUAGAACUGUCUGACUAGAGUACAGUAGAGGGUGGCGGAAUUUCCUGUGUAGCGGUGAAAUGCGUAGAUAUAGGGAAGGAACAUCAGUGGCGGAAGGCGGCCACCUGGACUGAUACUGACACUGA